UCUUAUCAAGAGCGGCGGAGGGACUGGCCCGAUGAAACCCGGCAACCCGGCUGAUGGUCAGGGUGCCAAAUCCUGCAGAAUUCUGGAUCCGGGUUCUGAAAGAUAAGA
rnacentral:ncRNA from 1 species